ACAUGAACAUCGACAUUUUGAACGCAUAUUGCGGUCCAUACUGACUAGUUUCUUUACUGAAGCUGUAUGGACCACACAUGGUUGAGGGUCGUUAGUUUACGCUAACUGAAUUGCUUUUUAAUUAAAGCUACAUCAUGAGGUGUUGUCAACCUUAAGUGCGUUGACAUCCCUUGAAAAUACCUUUGGUACACAAUUUAUUUAUUGUGAAUGCUUGUUUUUAUCAAAGAAAACAAUUAUUGAGCAAAAUAAUUCGAUUCGAACAUUUUGAAGCUAGUAAACUUUGAUUAAGCGUUUAAACAUAAUAGUUUACGUAUUUGAAUGCAUAUUAACUGAACGCUUCAUUAUUAGUAGUAUAUAUACGCUCUUAUAUAAUUAUUCGUUAAUUUUCUUUUUGAUAAUCAUAUCCAACCCAAAGUGGAUGGGCAUUCGUUUUAUAACAAUAAAUAUUUUUGACAAACAAAUCAUAAAAGCGACCUCAACUCAUGUGAGACUACC
rnacentral:rRNA from 1 species